GACGAACGCUGGCGGCGUGCUUAACACAUGCAAGUCGAACGGAAAGGCCCUGCCUUUGUGGGGUGCUCGAGUGGCGAACGGGUGAGUAACACGUGAGUAACCUGCCUUGACUUUGGGAUAACUUCAGGAAACUGGGGCUAAUACCGGAUAGGAGCUCCUGCUGCAUGGUGGGGGUUGGAAAGUUUCGGCGGUUGGGGAUGGACUCGCGGCUUAUCAGCUUGUUGGUGGGGUAGUGGCUUACCAAGGCUUUGACGGGUAGCCGGCCUGAGAGGGUGACCGGCCACAUUGGGACUGAGAUACAGCCCAGACUCCUACGGGAGGCAGCAGUGGGGAAUAUUGCACAAUGGGCGGAAGCCUGAUGCAGCAACGCCGCGUGCGGGAUGACGGCCUUCGGGUUGUAAACCGCUUUCGCCUGUGACGAAGCGUGAGUGACGGUAAUGGGUAAAGAAGCACCGGCUAACUACGUG
rnacentral:rRNA from 1 species